rnacentral:rRNA from 1 species
AGGACGAACGCUGGCGGCGUGCUUAACACAUGCAAGUCGAGCGGUAAGGCCUUUCGGGGUACACGAGCGGCGAACGGGUGAGUAACACGUGGGUGAUCUGCCCUGCACUCUGGGAUAAGCCUGGGAAACUGGGUCUAAUACCGGAUAUGACCUGCUCUCGGCAUGGGGGUGGGUGGAAAGAUUUAUCGGGUGCGAGGAUGGGCCCGCGGCCUAUCAGCUUGGUUGGUGGGGUAAUGGCCUACCGAAGGCGACGACGGGUAGCCGACCUGAGAGGGUGACCGGCCACACUGGGACUGGACGACACGGCCCAGACUCCUACGGGAGGCAGGCAGGUGGGGAAUAGUUGCAACGAAGUGGGGACCGAAAAGG